UACGGGGGGAGCAAGCGUUGUUCGGAUUUACUGGGCGUAAAGGGCGCGUAGGCGGUCAGCACAAGUCAGUUGUGAGAUCUCCGGGCUUAACCCGGAAAGGUCAACUGAUACUGUGCGACUAGAGUGCGGAAGGGGCAACUGGAAUUCUCGGUGUAGCGGUGAAAUGCGUAGAUAUCGAGAGGAACACCUGCGGCGAAGGCGGGUUGCUGGGCCGACACUGACGCUGAUGCGCGAACGCCAGGGGAGCGAACGGG
rnacentral:rRNA from 1 species